AUUGAACGCUGGCGGCAGGCAUAACACAUGCAAGUCGAGCGAGCGGCGGACGGGUGAGUAAUGUCUGGGAAACUGCCUGAUGGAGGGGGGAAACUACUGGAAACGGUAGCUAAUACCGCAUACCAUCAGAUGUGCCCAGAUGGGAGUAGCUAGUAGGUGGGGUUGUGGCUCACCUAGGCGACGAUCCCUAGCUGGUCUGAGAGGAUGACCAGGCACACUGGACAUGAGAAACGGUCCAGACUCCUACGGGAGGCAGGAGUGGGGAAUAUUGCACAAUGGGCGCAAGCCUGAUGAAGCCAUGCCGCGUGUGUGAAGAAGGCCUUCGGGUUGUAAAGCACUUUCAGCGGGGAGGCGUUACCCGCAGAAGAAGCACCGGCUAACUCCGUGCCAGCAGCCGCGGUAAUUC
rnacentral:rRNA from 1 species